AUUGAACGCUGGCGGCAUGCCUUACACAUGCAAGUCGAACGGCAGCACGGGAGCAAUCCUGGUGGCGAGUGGCGAACGGGUGAGUAAUACAUCGGAACGUGCCCAGUAGUGGGGGAUAGCCCGGCGAAAGCCGGAUUAAUACCGCAUACGACCUGAGGGUGAAAGCGGGGGAUCGCAAGACCUCCCGCUAUUGGAGCGGCCGAUGUCGGAUUAGCUAGUUGGUGGGGUAAAGGCUCACCAAGGCAACGAUCCGUAGCUGGUCUGAGAGGACGACCAGCCACACUGGGACUGAGACACGGCCCAGACUCCCACGGGAGGCAGCAGUGGGGAAUUUUGGACAAUGGGCGCAAGCCUGAUCCAGCCAUGCCGCGUGCGGGAAGAAGGCCUUCGGGUUGUAAACCGCUUUUGUCAGGGAAGAAACGCUCUGGGCUAAUACCCCGGGGUAAUGACGGUACCUGAAGAAUAAGCACCGGCUAACUACGUGCCAGCAGCCGCCGUAAAAC
rnacentral:rRNA from 1 species